rnacentral:sRNA from 1 species
AUUUCUUCCUCCUGCCUUCUCUCUUCCGUUGUGCGCGCAACUCACCAAGCCUCCCAACCACAACUACUGUAAAACGACCACUACACUCCUCUGAACCACUACCAACCUAUCCCUCUCACUCUUCUUAGUCAAGCUCUCGCCAAUUUUGUCGUUGUUUUCGUGUAACCAAUAGUUAAGGUUUCAGACAUAUUUUCCAGCGGCCCAAUUCCUGCCGAUCGCCGGCGAAUCGGGCCUCUCCGUUACCUGGAAACAACUUCUCUCACUCCCAGGAGAUACAUUAAGAUUGUUUCUUUGCUGCUGGAGAAUGGAGCUGAUGCCAAUUCUUGGAAUUACUGCGGGCAGCAUUGAUGCAAGCAUGCCGAUAUGGACAUUGGGAAGUUGUGCAGACCCUCUUGCUCUUCAGAUGCAAUGUGUGUGAAUCGUAAGUUUAGCAUUUCAAGGCAUAUAGGAUACGAACUUAUGUUGAUAACUAGUUAGGUGGGAUUAGAGGAGACAAUUGGUGAAGGAAAUUGGGAUUGAAUUUGGUUUGCAGCGAAUCAAGUGGUUCUUAGUGAAACCCUUUUCCUGGUUUGCUUAUAUUUUUCAUUGAAAAGGUUUUUACUAUUUUUUUUGUAUGAGUUCAAUUGUUUAGAUUUACCCAAAUCAUAUAUUGCAAGGCAGCUUCCGUAUGGUUUAUAUUAAGCUGACUAUUUGAACUAUCUACUAAAUCUUUUGCAUGUAAAUAGUAUUUAAAU